GCCUAGGGAUAGGGGUAGGACGGUCAAUUGUAAUUGCUUUAGAACACAUUGCAUUAUUGGUUACUAGGGGAGGCUAGGGAUAACAAGCCGGUAAUUAAUAAUAGGCUCUUUUCACCAAGGGAUUGGGUUAAGGGUAAUUAAGAAAGUAUGCAUGGCAAUUAGAUAAAUAAGUGAAUUAAAUAAGAAGAGUAGAUAUAUGAGAGUGGAUAAGAUGAAAUUGUAAACCCCAACAACACCAUUCAUCCAUAGUUUCUCAAAACCAAUUGAAUCAACUGCAUUG
rnacentral:lncRNA from 1 species